GAUAGAGGGUGCAAACGUUGCUCGGAAUUACUGGGCGUAAAGGGCGUGUAGGCGGGUAGGCAAGUCGGGCGUGAAAGCCCCAGACUCAACCUGGGAACUGCACUCGAAACUGCCUUUCUUGAGUGCCGGAGAGGAAAGCGGAAUUCCUGGUGUAGAGGUGAAAUUCGUAGAUAUCAGGAGGAACACCAGUGGCGAAGGCGGCUUUCUGGACGGUAACUGACGCUGAGACGCGAAAGCGUGGGGAGCGAACGGG
rnacentral:rRNA from 1 species